rnacentral:rRNA from 1 species
GACGAACGCUGGCGGCGUGCCUAAUACAUGCAAGUAGAACGCUGAAGGAGGAGCUUGCUUCUCUGGAUGAGUUGCGAACUGGUGAGUAACGCGUAGGUAACCUGCCUGGUAGCGGGGGAUAACUAUUGGAAACGAUAGCUAAUACCGCAUAAGAGUAGAUGUUGCAUGACAUUUGCUUAAAAGGUGCAAUUGCAUCACUACCAGAUGGACCUGCGUUGUAUUAGCUAGUUGGUGGGGUAACGGCUCACCAAGGCGACGAUACAUAGCCGACCUGAGAGGGUGAUCGGCCACACUGGGACUGAGACACGGCCCAGACUCCUACGGGAGGCAGCAGUAGGGAAUCUUCGGCAAUGGACGGAAGUCUGACCGAGCAACGCCGCGUGAGUGAAGAAGGUUGUCGGAUCGUAAAGCUCUGUUGUAAGAGAAGAACGAGUGUGAGAGUGGAAAGUUCACACUGUGACGGUAUCUUACCAGAAAGGGACGGCUAACUACGUG